GACGAACCGUGCGAACGUUGUUCGGAUUCACUGGGCUUAAAGGGCUCGUAGGCGGCCAACUAAGUCGGACGUGAAAUCCCUCGGCUUAACCGGGGAACUGCGUCCGAUACUGGAUGGCUUGAGUUCGGGAGAGGGAUGCGGAAUUCCAGGUGUAGCGGUGAAAUGCGUAGAUAUCUGGAGGAACACCGGUGGCGAAGGCGGCAUCCUGGACCGACACUGACGCUGAGGAGCGAAAGCCAGGGGAGCAAACGGG
rnacentral:rRNA from 1 species